CUCCUGUUCUUUGACAUCCAGGUGCCCGACUGUGUGGAGGUAAGGAACUACGCCGUUUUCUCUCUGCCGGUAAAUCCUUGCCUCUCACUUUUGGGCAUCUAGGACUCUGCAACUGGCCCCU
rnacentral:precursor_RNA from 15 species